CGGGGUGCAGCAGGCGCGAAAACUUUACAAUGCCGGCAACGGCGAUAAGGGAACCUCGAGUGCCAGGUUACAAAUCCGGCUGUCGUGAUGCCUAAAAAGCAUUGCAUAGCAAGGGCCGGGCAAGACCGGUGCCAGCCGCCGCGGUAACACCGGCGGCUCGAGUGGUAACCGUUAUUAUUGGGUCUAAAGGGUCUGUAGCCGGCCGGAUAAGUCUCUUGGGAAAUCUGGCAGCUUAACUGUCAGGCUUUCAGGAGAUACUGUCUGGCUCGAGGCCGGGAGAGGUGAGAGGUACUUCAGGGGUAGGGGUGAAAUCUUGUAAUCCUUGAAGGACCACCAGUGGCGAAGGCGUCUCACCAGAACGGACCUGACGGCAAGGGACGAAAGCUAGGGGCACGAACCGGAUUAGAUACCCGGGUAGUCCUAGCCGUAAACGAUACUCGCUAGGUGUCGGCCACGGUGCGACCGUGGUCGGUGCCGUAGGGAAGCCGUGAAGCGAGCCACCUGGGAAGUACGGCCGCAAGGCUGAAACUUAAAGGAAUUGGCGGGG
rnacentral:rRNA from 1 species